GUUGACGGCCACGCCACCCUGAACCAGCCCGAUCCCGUCUGAUCUCGGAAGCUGAGCAAGGUCGGGCCAGGUUAGUACUUGCAUGGGAGACCCCCUAGGGAGACCAAGUGCUGUAGGUG
rnacentral:rRNA from 1 species